rnacentral:lncRNA from 1 species
UUGAAGAAUAUUAAUGAUGUUGUUGAUUGAAGAAUAUUAAUGAUGUUGUCUACCAAUUAUAUUGUGAGGUGAACAACCAAUGUCUUAGGCCUAUAAAUAGAUACCUCCAUCAAGAGAAGUUUACACAUAGAGAAGAGGAAGAGAAGGAAGAAAGAGGGUGAGUGAGUUGAGAGGAAAGAGAGCAAGAAAGAAAUUCUCCAAGAGAGAAAAUUGAGUGAGCCAUACAUAUUGUAAACACUAAAUUUGUAGCCAUAUUAUUUC